GUGUAUUUAUAAAAUUUAUAAAACCCACAUUGGUCAUUAAGAAUAAUAAUAUGUUUAACAUCCGUCGCGUGAAAAAAACACGAAGAAAUUGCAAAAUAGACGCGUACCCCUGGUGGGACUCGAACCCACAAUCCCCGGUUUAGGAGACCGAUGCCUUAUCCAUUAGGCCACAGGGGCUAGCUAACUUCUCUUUGGUUAAUCAACAUUUUACAAUGAUAUUGUUAAAAUUACCAUUGCUUAUGAAAAUAAUAAUAUUUAAAAUAAACGAUUUUUAUUGGACUGUAGUACUGUACCACUCGUUCCACAUUUUAAUUAUUCUACAUUUUCAAUUUUUCUAACAUUUUGUUAUGACAACUCCUUACCUGUUAUGUGGUCACCGCGGACCCAUCCGUCAAACCCCUCUAGUUUAAAUUUAUGAUAAAUUAUUGUUUAUAAGCUGAUAUAGUACGAUUUAUCCCACGGACUAAGAUAAGAAAAUGAUUAUCGUAAAAACUAAAACUCUGUCUUCAACACUCUCGACAGUCUAUUUCAUAUAAUGUAGUAUGUACAGUAUGUCUAUAACAUUUGAGUGAAACGUUGUGUCAGUCAUAUUUUUAUUAGUUCAAUUAUUUGAUAAAUAUAAUCAUUAUUCAUAAAUUAUGGCAUAAGCUACUCAAUCUAGAGAUGAGUUUUGUAGUUUGAUACAUAUAUAAGAGUUGAACAAUUUAAGAACCAUGAAAAUGCAAUUUUCCCAAAUUCAACACAAAAACAACACAAAUACAAUCAAAUGUGUCAAAAGAAAAGGUUUGAAGAGAAAUUUGAAUCCAGAAUUGGAAUAUGUAUGUUCAAAUCUGCACCUCUUCGGCUCUACGGCUCAACUACAGAAAAAAUAGAGUUAACUACAGGAAUUUGAACAACUCAUUAGUCAAGUAAAUCAGUUGAGUAACCCUAAACACCAUAUGCAAAAAGAAACCUCGACAGAGAACAUUUGGACGACAAUAUCACUAUCACACCACCACAAAUAAACCCUUUAUAGUGAUUCAAAGUUCAAUCUGCUCAACAGAUGCAUACACCUUUUUGGCAGAAUCUUCUCAAGAUCAACCACACACUAUGGAACGUUAGGGGUAUGACCAUCUGGAAAUGAUUGCAAAUGUUAAUAGUGCUACUGCUGUGAGCAACCAACAGAUCCUUAUGAACCUGACAAUUAUUAAUCAAGAAGUAGAUAGAGCAGUUGCUGCCAAGUGGCUUCAUUAUUUGAAACUAAAGUAAACAGAAACUACAUUGCAAUAGAUGCACAAAUAAAAAAACUGUGUAUUCUCAAAGAAGUUGAGGGAUCUGCUACAAAAGUUGAAUGACUUAUUAUUGAAAUUGGAUUUGAAUGUCACUCCUAAUGAAUUGUGUGAACUCAUAUCCUACAUGCGAUACAUAUUACAUUAUCCCAUACCGAACGAGAUCUGUGUUGUUGGCGAUCAAUUACAACUAGGGGGUAAUGUACAUUC